GAGAACUGCUGUCCUAGAUGAAGAGGU
rnacentral:piRNA from 1 species